rnacentral:rRNA from 1 species
AUUGAACGCUGGCGGCAGGCCUAACACAUGCAAGUCGAACGAGUGGCGGACGGGUGAGUAAUGUCUGGGAAACUGCCUGAUGGAGGGGGAUAACUACUGGAAACGGUAGCUAAUACCGCAUACCAUCAGAUGUGCCCAGAUGGGAUUAUCUAGUUGGCGGGGUAACGGCACACCACGACGACGAGCACUAGCUGGUCUGAGAGGAUGACCAGCAACACUGGACCUGAGACCCGGUCCAGACUCCUACGGGAGGCAGCAGUGGGGAAUAUUGCACAAUGGGCGCAAGCCUGAGGCAGCCAUGCCGCGUGUAUGAAGCAGGCCUUCGGGUUGUAAAGUACUUUCAGCGGGGAGGCGUUACCCGCAGAAGAAGCACCGGCUAACUCCGUGCCAGCCGCCGCGGUAAUAC